AAUCAACGCUGGCGGCGUGCCUAACACAUGCAAGUCGAACGCGAAAGUCCCGCAAGGGAUGAGUAGAGUGGCAAACGGGUGAGUAACGCGUGGGUGACCUGCCUUCGAGUGGGGGAUAACGCUCCGAAAGGGACGCUAAUACCGCAUGACAUCCUGCUUUUGAAGGGGUGGAGAUCAAAGCCGGGGAUCGCAAGACCUGGCGCUCGAAGAGGGGCCCGCGUCCGAUUAGCAGUUGGUGGGGUAACGGCUCACCAAGGCUCCGAUCGGUAUCCGGCCUGAGAGGGCGGACGGACACACUGGGACUGAGACACGGCCCAGACUCCUACGGGAGGCAGCAGUGGGGAAUUGUUCGCAAUGGGCGCAAGCCUGACGACGCAACGCCGCGUGGAGGAUGAAGAUCUUCGGGUCGUAAACUCCUUUCGAUCGAGACGAAUGGCCUCCGGGUGAACAGCCCGGAGGAGUGACGGUACCGAGAGAAGAAGCCCCGGCUAACUCCGUGCCAGCAGCCGCC
rnacentral:rRNA from 1 species